GGAGGGAGGGAGGGAGGGAGAGAGAGAGAGGGAGGAGCUAGAAGGUAGACGGCAGAUGCAACCAUUAGGCUGGCUGGCCCUCGCUGCCCUACCCCCCACCUCACUAACCCGUGGCCUCC
ensembl:miRNA Gm25306 predicted gene, 25306